rnacentral:rRNA from 1 species
UGGGAGUGGGUUUNACCCAGAAGCAGGUAGCCUAACCGCAAGGAGGGCGCCUACCACGGUGNGAUUCAUGACUGGGUG